GGGAUGUUGAGAGAGAUAGAAAGUGGUGGGAAUGACAUGGAGAGGUAUUCGAAAAGGUAGAGCAGGGGUUAAAAAGGAGGAUAGGAUUGUGAGAGUGGUAUAGAAAGAGGUGUAGUGAAGGAGUGAUAGUGGUAUAGAAAGAGGUGUAGUGAAGGAGUGAUAGUGGUAUAGAGAGAGGUGUAGUGAAGGAGUGAUAGUGGUAUUUAAAGAGGUGUAGUGAAGGAGUGAUAGUGGUAUAGAGAGAGGUGUAGUGAAGGAGUGAUAGUGGUAUAGAAAGAGGUGUAGUAAAGGAGUGAUAGUGGUAUAGAGAGAGGUGUAGUGAAGGAGUGAUAGUGGUAUAGAAAGA